rnacentral:rRNA from 1 species
GACGAACGCUGGCGGCGUGCUUAACACAUGCAAGUCGAGCGGUAAGGCCCUUUCGGGGGUACGACGAGCGGCGAACGGGUGAGUAACACGUGGGUGACCUGCCCUCAGCUCUGGGAUAAGCCUGGGAAACCGGGUCUAAUACUGGAUAUGACUCCAUGACGCAUGUUGUGGGGUGGAAAGCCUUGUGCGGCUGAGGAUGGGCCCGCGGCCUAUCAGCUUGUUGGUGGGGUGANGGCCUACCAAGGCGACGACGGGUAGCCGGCCUGAGAGGGCGACCGGCCACACUGGGACUGAGACACGGCCCAGACUCCUACGGGAGGCAGCAGUGGGGAAUCUUGCGCAAUGGGCGAAAGCCUGACGCAGCGACG